rnacentral:rRNA from 1 species
ACCUGCGGAGGGAUCAUUACACAAAUAUGAAGGCGGGCUGGAACCUCUCGGGGUUACAGCCUUGCUGAAUUAUUCACCCUUGUCUUUUGCGUACUUCUUGUUUCCUUGGUGGGUUCGCCCACCACUAGGACAAACAUAAACCUUUUGUAAUUGCAAUCAGCGUCAGUAACAAAUUAAUAAUUACAACUUUCAACAACGGAUCUCUUGGUUCUGGCAUCGAUGAAGAACGCAGCGAAAUGCGAUAAGUAGUGUGAAUUGCAGAAUUCAGUGAAUCAUCGAAUCUUUGAACGCACAUUGCGCCCUUUGGUAUUCCAAAGGGCAUGCCUGUUCGAGCGUCAUUUGUACCCUCAAGCUUUGCUUGGUGUUGGGCGUCUUGUCUCUAGCUUUGCUGGAGACUCGCCUUAAAGUAAUUGGCAGCCGGCCUACUGGUUUCGGAGCGCAGCACAAGUCGCACUCUCUAUCAGCAAAGGUCUAGCAUCCACUAAGCCUUUUUUUCAACUUUUGACCUCGGAUCAGGUAGGGAUACCCGCUGAACUUAAGCAUAUCAAUA